GCCCAGGUGGUGGAAUGGUAGACACGUACGUUUCAGGUGCGUAUGUCUUUGCGGACAUGCAGGUUCGAGUCCUGUUCUGGGCA
rnacentral:tRNA from 2 species